ACUUGAAUUGGCUGGAGCGCAAAACAUUUUUCACUAUCCAACGGUUGCGCUCGAUACUUCUAUUGAAACUAUCUACACUUCCAAAAAUGCACACGACGCCAACGUCAAUGAGUAAUAUAUGCUGUGCACCCGCCGCCUUAAGUAGGCUGCGCCUAUAAAAUGUCUCUCAGUCGACAUGGAGUGCACUAUUCUGUAGUGACAGUAUCCAUUGCGGUGAUAGCAAGCUACGCAGACCAGUUGAUUACCCGAUAUAAAAAUAUUCGUGUUUGAUAAGAUUAGUUGUUUGAGAGUGUCGUCAGAGCAACAACCAGAAUGUCGUGUAAAUGCUGUGGUAAUGCUAAUUGCAGAUGCACUACGUGCUGUGGAACAGACACACCAUGCGGAUCAGGAUGUACGUGCAAAUGUGAAUGCAAGACCGGAAAGGCCUGCAGUACACCCGGAUGCUGUUAGAGAGAAAAGUUUCGCUGUCAGAAUCGUGGAAGAUUUAAAACUUUGAAUGAAAAAAUUGCUCUUGUCCAAAUAAAAUGUGUUUGUGAAUAAUAA